rnacentral:lncRNA from 1 species
UACCUUUAUAUAAGUAAAAAUAAAAUAAAAACCAAAAUUCUGUGGCGCUCGCGGGCCGCGUAGCAUUCUUUCCAUUUUGUCGCAGGCCGCGACAGCUCAAACACCAGAUCUCCUCCGGUGCCGCCACGUGUCGAUGACUCAGCGACCCUUCGCCGCCUUACCAGUCCUCGCGGGCCGCGUAAGACCUUGGUAUUGUCUACACGGGGCGCGACAAGGUCCAAGAUCAGCACAAUAAAUAGAAAGUUUCGGCCAUUCAUAUGAAUUCGUUCACAAAUGACUUUCUCUCUCAAAUUUCUAUAGGGUAGUCACUAUACCCGGGCAUUAUACCCCCCCUAAUUAGCGAAGCUCUGCCUCGUUGUAAGUAUCAUAACCCCUGGAUACGUAUUAGAUACUCUGCCCGAUUGAUCUAGGGUUCCGUAACGGCUGUCGUGGUUCUGCCCGACGUAGUCGUUGGAAUGCCGUCUCGGGGAGGAUUAUAACCAGGGAAUCAC